GCUGCGUGGGAGCUGUUCCAACAGCCAGGCUCCAGAAGUCCACGGGAGAGGUGGAGUUUGGGGCCUUCUGGCUUAAAAAGGACUGAGGCAGGCUGGAAGUACAGUCACUGGUGCAGGCUACCUCCAGGUGGCCUCCAAAAGGAGCUUUAAAAGGACUGAGGCAGGCCAGAAGUACAGUCGCUGGUGCAGGCCACCGGCAGGUGGCCUCCAAAAGGAGCCAGCCUUUGGUGGUGGCCUUCAGAGGUGGGACCAGGGCCAACUUACCAUCUUGGACAGCUGGAAGGAAGACUCCUGCACCCCUCACUGUUGUCUAGUACCUAGUUAGCCCUGGUAUAGGUAUGUGUUUUGAGUUGAACAGGGAUAGCAAGGAGCAGCUAUAGUGGUGUGGAAUUGAUGAAGAUAUGGUAUUGGUAGGCCAGCAGUCCAUUAGAGGGAAGGGAAUUCAUAAAUUUAAUUGCUGUUUUCUCUUCCAGCAGGCCUACCAUCUCUUUGACCUUGGAAAGCAAUGCCAACCACCCAUAGAACCUCACCCUAUUACUCUGUAAUGACAGAUUGAGGCAGUGGCUAGGAGCACUUUUUAUCAGCUUCGACUGAUACGUCAGCUCAGCUAUGUCCAUUUCUGGAGCAGGAAUAUCUGGCAGUAAUUGCCAGGUGUUGCAGAGUAUGACCUCUUUCAAACUAGAAAUGUGUGAGGAGAUGUGGGAGUAUGAACAUUCCACUCAUCUUUCACCUCAUAACUUCAGGGAAUAUGAGCUUUGUAUAGUAUUGCAUAGCAUUAGCCUACCCAUUAGGCAAAUACGACAUUUAUCCAGGGUACUGCUCCUGAACAUUUUUAAAGGUACCAGCUGUUCCAGACUGCUCCAUACCUCCUACCUUCCCCUGCCCUGCGCCCACCUAAUUAUCACUUGAACCACUUACAGAGGUAAUGGAGUCAAUAAGACACAGAGCCAUGUAUAUUCAAAGAGGUGCAGAGCUCUGUAGGUAGAAGCGGUGCGGAACUGGACUUCUGUCUCUAAAGCCUCAAUACUUAGGACCAAUCCUCUCUUGGAAGGGGAUUGCAAUAAAGAACAAUGAAUGUACUUGUUACUUAAGCUCCUGAGCCUGACCUGCAACCAUUUAAGGGGUUCCAGGCUCUGUAGGAUCCAGUCAUAACCCUCAGGCAUGGCAUUAGCUAGGAAGUAUCCUUGGUUCACCUGCAGUCAGCCUCAAACUCCUAAUCUCAAAGCCAAUGAGUACUGACACUGCCUGACUUUCCCUUCAUCGCCAUUUCCUACAGUAAGUGGACUUUUGCAUAAUUUUAUAUUGCAGUACACUUUAGAAGCCGCUGUUACAAUGGAAAAUGGAAAAGACCAUACUAUAGUUCCUCUACUUUUCUUGUAGGGAUGUGCGAACAGGUUCAGUGUCGAACCUGUUCAGUUCAAUCGUCCGG